rnacentral:lncRNA from 1 species
GGGGGUCAGGGCUUCCUCCACCAAACACUGGCUGAGAAGCCUGUUCCACAAAUCAUCAGUUUACACUAUCGGACUAUCCCAUCCUGUUACGGGAUAUUGCCAGGAAAAAAAUCAAGGGAGCACAGUCAUGAAAAACUUAAGAGCAAAGCAACAAUCUUUGUAGUUGCAGCCAAAAGAAAUUAAUUUAUUUUUAAAUAUAAAAACCCAACAACAAAAUGCUUGUGAAAUCAGGAAAAAAAGUCCAUUUGUUUGCCAUCUCAAAAUUACACGGAAAUAGACCCCAGGAGUAAGUGAAUGAGAUUAAACCAGACGGUUUUUAAGGCUUCAUGAAUAGUGAAAAGAACAAAAGUAAAGUGCGCAGCACUUAAAUGCUGAAGAAACUUUCACAUGAAACCUGCAGUGCAGAAGAAAAGGACAUGUCAAGAAUUUUGCAUAAAACAACCCCAGCAGAAAGAUGUCAGAUGUUGCCCUGGUGCUGGUUCUCAUCUAGCUCUCUUGCACAUAACUCAUCACAUCUACAGUGACCUCAAUUAUUUCUGUAAUCAUAUGUGUGAUGGCAUAAUAUUCCCAUGGCAACCACAGUCACCAAUGCAAGUUUACUGGUGAAAAACAAAACAGCAAGUGAAAAAUCAAGCUGCUGUUUGGAGUGACUUUAAACACAACCAAAAUUGUGGCUGAACCUCCUGCAUCCAGUAACAGUACUUUCAGUAAACUUGCUUUCAAGUACUAGGAUAUUUCUAUUAAGGAGGAAGGCAAAAUUUUCCCUAAGUUUAAAGAUUCAAAGGCCAAAACAAUAUUGGGAAUAUCAUGAGUUUUGAGUUUUGCUGUUUCAAUUAUCACACUGCAAAAAGACUGGCACUGUAUCUCUAAUGGCAAGUUUUUGUUAGUCAUGCAUCAUUACCCCAUUCACCCUCUAUUACUUGUCAGCGCCUUUAGAAUUGCAACUCAUAAAAGAAAAGCCCAAAGGAAUGGUCAAGGUUCAGUUAUUUUGGCAACCCACUACUGAGGAACGUUGGAGCAAAUACAAAUUGUCUUUAUUUCACACUGACACUCUGAUCAGGUGUUUUGAGGGCACCACUUUCUCAGUCUCAUGGGUGGGUAACCUUAUCCUACAAAUGUUAGAAUUGUGACAGUAUCCAAGCACCAAAAGCCAAGCUCCAAAGAUGUACUUUAUUUCAUUAUAAAGCAGAUUUUUUUAGGCAUUAUUUCUUUUUGUGAACAUCCACUGUAUGGCCAGCACAUCCUGCUUUGAGGAAACAGCUGUUUGAUAACAAAGAUUUACCACUAGACCACAAAGAUACAGAUGCACAGAAUUAGUGCUGCUUAGACACUGAAGAGCAAAUGCUCUAAACUGCAACCAGUUCAAACAGAUACAAGCAAAAAUACAAGUACAGCUCCAGCCCAGCCAGAGCAGCAUGCACAGAAGUGGAGUCUUUUAUAUCAAAACAAAGUUUGUAUUGGGCUUCCUGGAAAAACAAAAAAAUCCCCAAAACAGAAUUAUAUCAGAACCCUUUCCCUCUCAUUUUAAUGCCACUUUUUAACUGUCCCCAUUUCACAUCACAGUUGUGCUGUGCUGCACUAGUACUUUUUAAAAAACAGAAAAAUGACUGAAUGUAGUGUGACAUCAUAGUGAAUGGCUGACAGUGAUCAUUUCAUGGAUACUUCAUCCCAAUUCUUUUAUUCCUUUUCCAACCGUGAUUCUCUUCCUGGGCAUUUGACUUUCAUUGAUAGGUGCAUCUCAUUCCACAUUUGCAGAUUUCC